rnacentral:rRNA from 1 species
UCGCCAGACUCCUACGGGAGGCAGCAGUGGGGAAUAUUGCGCAAUGGGGGAAACCCUGACGCAGCAACGCCGCGUGCGGGAUGAAGGCCUUCGGGUUGUAAACCGCUUUCAGCAGGGAAGAUCCAAGACGGUACCUGCAGAAGAAGCCCCGGCUAACUCCGUGCCAGCAGCCGCGGUAAUACGGAGGAUGCGAGCGUUAUCCGGAUUUAUUGGGUUUAAAGGGUGCGUAGGCGGGUUAUCAAGUCAGCGGUAAAAUCGUGGAGCUCAACUCCAUCCAGCCGUUGAAACUGAUGAUCUUGAGUGGGCGAGAAGUAUGCGGAAUGCGUGGUGUAGCGGUGAAAUGCAUAGAUAUCACGCAGAACUCCGAUUGCGAAGGCAGCAUACCGGCGCCCGACUGACGCUGAAGCACGAAAGCGUGGGUAUCGAACAGGAUUAGAUACCCGGGUAC